GACGGAGGAUGCAAGUGUUAUCGGAAUCACUGGGCGUAAAGCGUCUGUAGGUGGUUUAAAAAGUCCACUGUUAAAGAUUGAAGCUUAACUUAAAAAAUGCCGUGGAAACUUUUAAACUUGAGUAUGAUAGGGGUAGAGGGAAUUUCCAGUGGAGCGGUGAAAUGCGUAGAUAUUGGAAAGACCACCAAUGGCGAAGGCACUCUACUGGGCCAUUACUGACACUGAGAGACGAAAGCUAGGGGAGCGAAUGGG
rnacentral:rRNA from 1 species